rnacentral:lncRNA from 1 species
CUACUGUUACUUAAACAAACAAAAAAAAAUGAAACUAAAAGUGAACUUAUGAGCAGUGAAGAACAAGUGAAUCUGCCUUACAAAGCCAGAGACUAUGAAUAAGAAGAGAGACUUAGCUUGCAAAAGCUUGUAAGUACAUUUAUUAACUCUAACCAUGUUUGAUCCGAAGUAAUUAACUAAUGCAUACAUACUUCAACCUACCUUGAAUUUUCUUACAACAUCUUCCACAACAACAGAUCAAUAUUUCACUACAAACUCUUGAACAACAUAUCUUGCGAUCAAGCGCCUUUCUUCUGUGCAUGCUUUUUAACCUCCCUCAUUACCCUAUUGUAUAAAAAUAAAAACAAUUUCAGACAUGUAGUUAAGUAUAAAGUACAAGAUAUGUUGUAGUUAAGCAAAACAAUAUGAAAAACUUCAGACUAAACAGGCUUGUAGUUUAGCAAACACAGUACACAACUUCAGCUCUAACAAUACUGAAGUUGAACAAAUACAGAACAAAAAACUCAGGUUAUGGAAGUUAAAAAAACUUGUAGUUCAAACAAUGCUGAGCAAAGAACUUUAGACUAAUAACAAAAAUAAAAACUUACAUCAAUAUCGAGUUACCUAAUUCAUCCUCAAAACCCAUUAAAGAAAAUUUUAAACGAUUGUACGUACGAGGUGAUUCUCCAAUUAAAGGAGUUGAAUUCAUUUCCUUCGACCAAUUCCGACUGCAUGGUAAUUGUCCACUUAAAGGCAUUAAAUUCAUUUUCUCUUCGGUAGAGAUUAUCUCUAAUACCCUAAGGGGUCAUUUGGUUGGAAUAGGAUUUAUACCGGUAUAAGUUAUGCCGGUAUAAGUUAUAUUGGGAUAUGUUAUACUGGAAUUAGUUAUGUUGUGAUUGUUGGUUAUUCAUUGUUUGGUAUGUUGUAUUAAGAAUGACAACUGCAUAAUUUCUAAGAAGAAGAUAUAAGUUAUACUUGUACUACUUAUCCCACCUUCUAUAAGGUAUAAGUUAUCUCAGUGUUAAAAUUAACAACGGUAUAACUUAUACCUGGUUCGCUAACCAAACAAAGUAUUAAGGUGGUAUUAAACUUUUAUGCCACUUGUAUACCUUCUUAUACUUGAUACCAAAUGACUCAUAAAUGUAUAAUAUUUCUGUUUAAUAGUUGAAAAGUAUAUUAGGAAAAAUAAAACUGAUACAUUAACAUAUUAACAAAACUACAGGAAAAAAAAGAAUAUUAACUUUCUGCACGAUUACUGUUGCAAAACUCAUAAAGUUUUUUUAUUUAGGCUCCCCCAAGAUUGGAUAACCUAACAUCCCGAGGAUUUGAUGGACAUGAUUAGACCCUUAGACUUCCCCAUGAUAGCGCUUCAGAAUCUUAAAAUCUCGUUUAAUUGGUUUUAACAUUAUAAAACUGUUAGCAAAACUCAUAAAGUUUUUUAUAUUUAGACUCCCCCAAAAUUGGAUAACCUAACAUCCUGGGGAUUUGAGGGACAUGACUAGACCCUUAGAGUUCCCCAUGAUAGCGCUUCAGAAUCUUACAAUCUCACAGCCAAAAAUCUUGAAACUAAUUGGUGUAUACGCGAGAAAGGAUCAAACAUUGAACCAACUUCAUAUUCAAUCGUCAUUCUCCACAGGCAUGAUAUACCGAAAUGUAACGUAACUCAGCUUCUCCCGAUGUGCAUUCUCUAGUUGUGCAGGAGACAAGAAAGUUAUAAUUAAACCUUUCAAAUCAUGGUUCCCUUUCCCGUAAGCAGGGGCAUUAACCCAAUCUCCAAACUCAUAAUAUAUCUUCUCUGGUUUUGGUUUUGUAGGUACUGCAACAAGCGUUGAAUGAGCUUUACGUACUCUAGGAGCUUUAUGUACAUUAGGUACUUUAGGAGUUAGGUACAUUAGGUACUAAAGCUCCUAGAGUACGUAAAGCGCCUUCAACGCCCGUUGCAGUACCUAGGAUGUUAGGUUAUCCAAUCUUGUGGGAGCCUAAAUAUAGAGAACUUAAUGAGUUUUACUCCAGUAAUCAUACAGUAAGUUAAUAUUCUUUAUUUUUCUGUAAUUUUGUUAAUAUGUUGAUGUAUUAGUUUUAUUUAUUUUCACUAAUAUACUUUUCACCUAUUAAACAAAAAUAUCGGACAUUUAGUGUAUUGGAAAUAAUCCUUACCGAAGAGGAAACGAAUUCAAUGCCUUUAAUUGGACAAUUACCAUGCAGCCGCAGUCGUUCAAAGUGAAUGAAUCCGGUGUCUUUAAUUGGAGAAUCACCACGUAGUCAGAGUCAGUCAAAAUUGGAGAAUCACUUCGUACCUACCGUCGUUCAAAACGCUCUUCAACGAGGUUUGAUGAUGACUUAGUUAACACAAUAUGUGAUGUACGUUUUUUAUUUUUAUUUUUAGUCCAAAGUUCUUUGUUUAGCAUUGUUUGAACGACAAGCUUCUUUAACUUUCAUAACCUGAAGUUUUUGUUCUAUAUUAUUGUUAGAACUGAAGUUGUGUACCGUGUUUGUUAAACUACAAGUUUGUUCAGUGUGAAGUUUUCAUACUGUUUUGCCUAACUACAACAUGUUUUAUUUGAAGUUGUGUACUGUAUUUACUUAACUACAGGCUUAUUUAUUCUGAAACUGUUGUAUUGUUUCUAUUUUUAUACUAGAGGGUAAUGAGGGAGGUUAAAAAGGCGCUUGAUCGUGAGAGAUGUUGUUCUUAGAGUUUGGAGAGAAAGAACGAGAUGUUGUUGUGGAAGAUGGUGUAAGAAAAGUCAAGGUAGGCUUAUUUAUAGAGAAGUUCUUUUUUUCAGGAAAUGAUAUUGUUUAUUCAGAAUACUCAUCGUUAGUAUUCUUCUAUAGGAAUAUUUGGAUUCAAAACUGGAAAAGUUGUUUGAGAUUGUUGACAAGUCGAAAGGAAAUAUGUUGCUGAAGAAGAUUCUGAAUUUAUGAACUAUCGAGAAUACGAUAGAAUAAAUGAGUUCUUCAAGCCUCAGUCUGAUGCAAAUGUUGCUGAUGAUGGAUUGCAUAAAGUCCCAGAUGAAAAUAUUGGAAGUGAGCAAGUACAAGGUGAAGAGCAAGUUCAAGGGGCAGGUUUUAGUGUUGAUAGAUUGAGCAAAGCUGCUGGAUGUGAUUGAAAAGUUAUUAACUGAGAAUGUUGGAAUCGAGAAAGAUGCAGAUGGUGAAGCUAUUGGUACGGAAGAACAUGCAUCCUAUGCAGAUGUAUGUACUCGUAUUGCAACGGGCAAUUUUUUUGUGGAAGCAUUUGUUGUUUGUCAAGAAAUUUUAGGUGGAGACACACAGGAAGUUGUCACUACAUGUAUAAAUGUGUUCUAUCUUAUUAUAUAUGAUUACCUGUAAGUUUUGAGUCAUUGAUUUCUUCUCUAUCAAUAUGCAAUGGAAGUCGAAAAUAGUGGCGCUUCAAUUGAUGUGUCAAAAACUCCUCAAUGAUGAUGCACUACAUGAAGCUGGAGUCGAAAAAAUCCUUCUGCAAAAUACUCCAAAGCUCCCCAGCGUUGCUGCACCAAUGAAUGAAGCUGAAACUGCUAAAAUAGAGAAAGGUAUGCAGUCAGGUGAUAGCACAGAGGAAGGUCAAUAUCAAGGUAUUCUACACAUCACAAACUUAUUACAUUUGAUCCAAAUUUUUAUGUUCAGUUGAAAUUUUACAUACUUCUUUUCUUUUUUGCAUUUUUUCAUGAUUUUUUUUUUUGGAUGACCGAGAAAUCCGUCUGGAGCCGAUCCUUUGGACCAACCGCCGCCUUCGAAACUCGGUGGAUGAUGGGCCCUCCCUCUACCCUUCUCCACUUAAAUACCAGGCUUUGCUUUGCAUGGUGUGGGGGCUUGAACCUGUGACCUAAGACACAAAUCCACCACCCUUUGCCACAUGAGCUAGGCCCUGGGGUCUUCGUGAUUAUUCAGAAAGACUUCAUGCAGCAGAAAAAGAAAUUUGUGAGCUCAUUCGGCUAUAUGAAAAAGGAGAAAUACAUCUUUUUACACAUGUUGGCUCAUAGACAUGUGUGAAGUUGCUUUAUAGUAUUUUCAAAAUUUAGUCAAUAUUAUUUAAUAUUUUUUCCUUUUUUAUGAAUGAAGAUGCAGUGAUAUCUGAAGGGAAUGCAAGCAGAUCUAUUGGUAUACAAACGCCAUUUGCAUCACAACACUUAGACCACGUAGUUAUUUUCUGCAAUGCGAUCACAAGGUGUUUUUGACGAAUGUGUUUGUAAUAGUUGAAUUUAUGUAUAUAUUUUCCUUAUUUUUCAUAUCUCAUCUCAUGGACUGUAACUUCUACCAAAUCCUAAAAGAAGGAAGCCAUCCAGUUCUCCUAAAGUUUUGCUUGGCAAUAAUGAUAUCCACAACUUCAAUCCAUCUUCAUUUUCGCUUGGUAGUAUACAAGAUACUAUUUCAGAAGGCAAUUCUGAUGUUGUUGUUGUUGGUGAAGUGAGACAAGAAGAUUAUAAACAGCAGGGAGUUGGAGAAAGAUCUAUUCCAAUGGCUGUGGAUUUUGCAGCUCAAGUCGAACCAUGACAGUUAGUUGAUACUGGGCAACAGGAGCAGCAAGUAAAAGGAAACGCAGCUAAAGUAGGCAAAAGGAAUCGCAUGGCUAGUAUUUAGUUGAAAUCUCCUUAUGUGAUUCUUAAAUAAAGGGUAAGUGGACAAGAUUGGAAAGCAGAAAAGAUUACUCAUUUAGGCUGAAGUUUCUUAUCAAUCUAUAUCAGCCUGAAACAACUUCACGCUAUAUAAGCAUGAAGUUUAGCUUAUGUAGGUUUGAAGAGUCUGCUGAAGUUUUCUGGAUAACACUACCAGUUAUUUUUAAAAUUUCCACAGUCUGAAGUUAUCUUUAUAUAUACCCGAAGUUCGCUUUCUAUAUCUUUAAAACUUCAGACUUUUUAGGCUUAAGUUUUCUGAAAACACUUCUUUCAAGAUUCCGACAAUUUUAAUAUAUUAAAUGUGAAGUUUUCAAAAGUUUUUGAAGAUCUCUAAGUGAAGACAAUUAAAUAUGAUUUGUAAAUGAGUGCGAGUAGCAUAAAAUUAUUAAAUUUUUCUAUAGGCGUGAAUUGAAAUCAGAUUUCGUUUCUGAAGUUCAACAGUUAAAAAGCAGUACGAAUUAUGAAAAUAAUUGCACAAACAUGUAUCAUGAAACUCAAUUAGUCGCAGAAACUAAUGGGAAAUCUAAAGUACUUAAUGAAAGCUCAAUUGCAGAAACAUGUGUAGGAAAGGUACUCACAAUGUAGCUAUAAUUUCGAAUCCAAAGUUUCUGAUGAAUCUAGUUCAAGUUUCUGGUUUUUUGAUGAAGCUGUUGCGAUGAAAAACUUGAGAACUUUGACGAGGGAUGAAAGAGAUUUUUGACGAGUGAGGUAGCAGAUCACGCGAUCAAUGCCUUAUGCAGGUUUUAUAUCGUUGGUCAGGGAUAUUAUUGUCAUAUUAUUACUUAUUUUUUAGCAACUGGCUACCAGUUCAAUAAUUUGUAAAAAUAGCGUACAAGUUAAAAGGCGGUACAAAUAUAGAGUAUGGCUGCAAAUCCUCGAUAUUACUUCUUUUACGAUAAUAUAAGAUAAGUUGCCUGAGGGUGCCAUAUUUUAGUUGAUUGCAAGAACUGUUGAAUCAACAAUCAAAAGCACAAGUGUAAGCACAAAGCUUAUGAGAAGAAUCAAUGACGGAUAGUAACUAAUAUGAGUGAGAAUCCCGUCCAACAAUUUUAGGUGUCUGGGAGUUAUCUUAAAAAUAAUUUCACACUUCCGAAUAAUCUUCCACAAUAAAGGUUUUUAAGCAAAAGAAGGGGUCAGCAUCUUUAAGUAUAUCUCAGACUUCAUCAGAAUCGGGGAAAAGGUCGGACUUCAGAGUUUGUGAGUUGAGUGUCACUAUCACACCACCCUAUAUCGUACUUCCAGUUUCAACAAAAAGAAUAUAGAGCUAACGCAAGCAAGAUGAUUUGUCAGAUUCUCUUACUGAAAAAAAAUCAAUUAACUUUACCUCCUCUUUGCUUUGCUUGUUAGAACUCCAUAAAGUGGCAGAUAUGCAUAGCUUUGUCAAAUGGCAUGUUCAUUGCUUAUUUGAUCACAUCAUUGAUUUUGCCUUACAUUAACCAAACAGGAACGUAAUAACCAUCAUUGUAUUAACAACAUGCCCC